ACAGCUUUCUUCACCGGAGCUUUCUUAGCAGCCACAGCUUUCUUCACUGCUGGCUUCUUAGCAGCAACAACUUUCUUCCCCGGAGUUGUCCUCGUCGACGUCCUUGAAGCCUUAGCAGGUUUCACAACUGUCUUUGCCUUGGCAGCAGGUUUGGCCUUUGCAGCAGCAGCUUUAGGUUUGGCAGCAGGAGCUUUGGGCUUGGCAGCAGCAGGCUUGGGCUUUGCAGCAACAGGUUUAGCUUUUGCAGCAACCUUAGUCUUGACAACAGCUUUAGCCUUGGGCUUAGGGCCGGGCUUGGCCUUCACUGCCGUCACCUUAGCAACUGCCUUUGUCUUUGGCUUAGCGGCUGCAGGCUUUUUCUCCGCUGAUGGUUUCGUCGCCGGAGAAAG
rnacentral:lncRNA from 1 species